rnacentral:rRNA from 1 species
GGGACAGCAAGACAGGUGUUGCAUGGCUGUCGUCAGCUCGUGUCGUGAGAUGCUGGGUUAAGUCCCGCAACGAGCGCAACCCUCACCCCAUGUUGCCAGCGGGUAAAGCCGGGAACUCUUGGGGAACUGCCCGGGUAACCGGGAGGAAGGUGAGGAUGACGUCAAGUCAGCAUGGCCCUUACGCCCUGGGCUACAAACAUGCUACAAUGGACGGCACACAAAGGGACCCGAACGCGUGAGCGUGAGGCAAUCUCAAAAAUCCGUCCCCAGUUCGGAUCGCAGGCUGCAACUCGCCUGCGUGAAGGCGGAAUCGCUAGUAACCGCAGAUCAGCUAAGCUGCGGUGAAUACGUUCCCGGGCCUUGUACACACCGCCCGUCACGUCACCUGAGUUGUCUGCACCCGAAGUCGGUGGGGUAACCCUUCCUCGGAAGGGGACUAGCCGCCGAAGGUGUGGGGAGCGAGGGGGACGAAGUCGUAACAAGGUAGCCGUAUCGGAAGG